rnacentral:rRNA from 1 species
CCUACGGGAGGCAGCAGUGGGGAAUAUUGGGCAAUGGGGGCAAGUCUGACCCAGCAACGCCGCGUGAAUGAUGAAGGCUUUCGGAUUGUAAAGUUCUGUUAUCAGGGAUGAAGAAAAUGACGGUACCUGAAUAAUAAGCCACGGCUAACUACGUGCCAGCAGCCGCGGUAAUACGUAGGUGGCAAGCGUUAUCCGGAUUGACUGGGCGUAAAGGGCGUGUAGGCGGUUGAGUAAGUCGGAGGUGAAAUCUCAGGGCUCAACCCCGGGGCUACAUUUGAAACUGUGUUACUUGAGUGCUGGAGAGGUAAGUGGAAUUCCGAGUGUAGCGGUGGAAUGCGUAGAUAUAAGGAGGAACACCAGUGGCGAAGGCGAAUUGCUGGACAGUAACUGACGCUGAGGCGCGAAAGCGUGGGGAGCAAACAGGAUUAGAUACCCCUGUAGUC